GGAGGAAGUAGGGGAUCGCAAGACCUUGCGCUUUUGGAGCGGCCGAUGUCUGAUUAGCUUGUUGGUAAGGUAAAAGCUUACCAAGGCUUCGAUCAGUAGCUGGUCUGAGAGGACGACCAGCCACACUGGGACUGAGACACGGCCCAGACUCCUACGGGAGGCAGCAGUGGGGAAUUUUGGACAAUGGGGGCAACCCUGAUCCAGCCAUGCCGCGUGAGUGAAGAAGGCCUUCGGGUUGUAAAGCUCUUUCAGCCGGAACGAAACGGUUACGGUUAAUACCCGUGACUACUGACGGUACCGGAAGAAGAAGCACCGGCUAACUACGUGCCAGCAGCCGCGGUAAUACGUAGGGUGCGAGCGUUAAUCGGAAUUACUGGGCGUAAAGCGUGCGCAGGUGGUUUUGUAAGUCAGAUGUGAAAUCCCCGGGCUCAACCUGGGAACUGCGUUUGAAACUACAAGGCUAG
rnacentral:rRNA from 1 species